UACGUAGGGUGCGAGCGUUGUCCGGAAUUAUUGGGCGUAAAGGGCUCGUAGGCGGUCCGUCACGUCGGGUGUGAAAUUCCAGGGCUCAACCCUGGACCUGCAUUCGAUACGGGCGGACUAGAGUUCGGUAGGGGAGACUGGAAUUCCUGGUGUAGCGGUGAAAUGCGCAGAUAUCAGGAGGAACACCGAUGGCGAAGGCGGCUCACUGGCUCGUAUCUGACGCUCAGGCGCGACAGCGUGGGGAUCAAACAGG
rnacentral:rRNA from 1 species